UACGGAGGGGGCUAGCGUUGUUCGGAAUUACUGGGCGUAAAGCGCACGGUAGGCGGCUUUGCAAGUCAGAGGUGAAAGCCCGGGGCUCAACCCCGGAAUUGCCUUUGAGACUGCAUCGCUAGAAUUGUGGAGAGGUAAGUGGAAUUCCGAGUGUAGAGGUGAAAUUCGUAGAUAUUCGGAAGAACACCAGUGGCGAAGGCGACUUACUGGACACAUAUUGACGCUGAGGUGCGAAAGCGUGGGGAGCAAACAGG
rnacentral:rRNA from 1 species